UACGUAGGGGGCAAGCGUUGUCCGGAAUUAUUGGGCGUAAAGCGCGCGCAGGCGGUGGAUUAAGUCUGGUGUAUAAGCCCAGGGCUCAACCCUGGGAGGCACCGGAAACUGGUUGACUGGAGUGCAGAAGAGGAGAGUGGAAUUCCACAUGUAGCGGUGAAAUGCGUAGAGAUGUGGAGGAACACCAGUGGCGAAGGCGACUCUCUGGUCUGUAACUGACGCUGAGGCGCGAAAGCGUGGGGAGCAAACAGG
rnacentral:rRNA from 1 species